UACGGAGGGUGCAAGCGUUAUCCGGAUUCACUGGGUUUAAAGGGUGCGUAGGUGGGCAGGUAAGUCAGUGGUGAAAUCUCCGGGCUUAACUCGGAAACUGCCAUUGAUACUAUCUGUCUUGAAUACCGUGGAGGUCAGCGGAAUAUGUCAUGUAGCGGUGAAAUGCUUUGAUAUGACAUAGAACACCAAUUGCGAAGGCAGCUGGCUACACGAAUAUUGACACUGAUGCACGAAAGCGUGGGGAUCAAACAGG
rnacentral:rRNA from 1 species